rnacentral:tRNA from 1 species
GCUGCUGUAGCCCAACCGGAAGAGGUGCUGGUCUUAGAAGCCAGAGGUUGUGGGUUCAAAUCCCACCAGCAGUACCA